rnacentral:rRNA from 1 species
UCGGGAAUUUUGGGCAAUGGGGGAAACCCUGACCCAGCAACGCCGCGUGAAGGAUGAAGUAUUUCGGUAUGUAAACUUCGAAAGAAUAGGAAGAAUAAAUGACGGUACUAUUUAUAAGGUCCGGCUAACUACGUGCCAGCAGCCGCGGUAAUACGUAGGGACCAAGCGUUGUUCGGAUUUACUGGGCGUAAAGGGCGCGUAGGCGGCAUGACAAGUCACUUGUGAAAUCUCUGGGCUUAACCCAGAACGGCCAAGUGAUACUGUCGCGCUAGAGUGCAGAAGGGGCAAUCGGAAUUCUUGGUGUAGCGGUGAAAUGCGUAGAUAUCAAGAGGAACACCUGAGGUGAAGACGGGUUGCUGGGCUGACACUGACGCUGAGGCGCGAAAGCCAGGGGAGCAAACGGGAUUAGAUACCCCAGUAGGCCCUGAGCGGGCUGGCAAGGCGCAU